rnacentral:rRNA from 1 species
UGGGGGAAUCUUCCGCAAUGGGCGAAAGCCUGACGGAGCAACGCCGCGUGAGUGAAGAAGGUUUUCGGAUCGUAAAGCUCUGUUGUCAGGGACGAGAGAGUCUGUCAGGAAAUGGGCAGGCUAGGACGGUACCUGGCGAGAAAGCCACGGCUAACUACGUGCCAGCAGCCGCGGUAAUACGUAGGUGGCGAGCGUUGUCCGGAAUUACUGGGUGUAAAGGGAGCGCAGGCGGGACAGCAAGUUGGAUGUGAAAUACCGAGGCUUAACUUCGGAGCUGCAUCCAAAACUGUUGUUCUUGAGUGGAGUAGAGGCAAGCGGAAUUCCGAGUGUAGCGGUGAAAUGCGUAGAUAUUCGGAGGAACACCAGUGGCGAAGGCGGCUUGCUGGGCUCUAACUGACGCUGAGGC